rnacentral:tRNA from 1 species
CGGGGUGUAGCGCAGCCUGGUAGCGCACUUGCUUUGGGAGCAAGUUGUCGGGGGUUCGAAUCCCUCCACCCCGA